AGCUUUGCGCAGUGGCGAUAUCGUAACCAAUGAGCUCGGAUGUAGCUCAUUGGUUACGAUAUCGAUGUAGUGCGAUUAUUGCUAGUUGAAAAAAAAACUAACAAAGAAUGUUUUCAAUUAUUUAAAAAUUACAAAAAAA